rnacentral:lncRNA from 1 species
AGGAAGACCGGGAGUUGUGACAGGCAGAAGAAAAAUGAAGCCAAACAACAUGGAGGUGUGUCAUCACCGCUGGAUUUUGUCCUGAUCUAUGUCCAGUCAUCUCUGUCGGGCGCCCAUUCAAGACGCAGCAUAUCUACUCUGAGUUUGAAGUCAUGGGUGAGCUUUCAAGGGCAACACAUGGAAACAGGGAUGAAUUCUACUUGAGCACGCCACACAGAAAAUACAAUGCUGGAGGUGAGCUUGCUGAGCAGAAGUGAGAACCUGAGUUCAAAUACCCAGAAUCCACCUGGGUACCGUUCUGGUGUCAUGAUAGCAUAUGUCCAUGAUCUCAUUUCUCCUAUGUGAGAUGAGAUGCAAAGGCAGGAGAGUUCCUGGAAGCUACUCUCUCUUUUUUGUCCUCUUGCUCUUCUCCCUCCUGUCCCUGCAGUCUCUCCCUCCCAGAUCUUAGGUUUAUCACACAUUGGUAAACACUAUGCUCUGACACUGAGAAAUGCC